GUGAUAUAAAGCAAAUAAACAGACAUGCAAGUGUGUCUCCUGGAAGAAGAAUCCAUGGUUGAAAAGACACCUCCCUGAGUGAUGCUGGUGGGCACUGCUCAGUGGUCAACCCUGGGAGCCGAAUGAAUGGCCAUCAGCAGAGGAUGCGGGACAGCUGUGCUCCACCCCCAUGACGGUGCCACCACUGAGGAGGAGCAGCGCGCAGGGAUCCCAGCCUGGUGUUACUGCUGGAAGAAGACCUGCCGGAAACAUUUAUACUGAAUGGUUCCAGCUCCACCCUCUCUACUCCACCAAGGACAAAAAGCACGGGGUCAGCUUGGGAUGAGAGGACAGGAGGGGAUAGCAGCGCCCCAAGAGACGUUCCCAGGUGAUGCGUGAGAGUGUUCUGCACCCCCGCUGGGUGGGAGGUUUCACAAAGGCUGCUGUCCCCUCGCACUGUCUCUGCACUGCAUACUGCACUUUGGGUUGAGUUCGGUAUCUGUGCUUACGUAGCUAUCCAUGUGCACUUGAAAGUUACGACCUGCUGUGAAUCCUCCACUCCUGGCCACCCAGGGGUUAUCAGCUGAAACUUUUGUAUCCUUUAAAGAAAAUUAUAUUGGACAUUUUGGGAUCAUCUCCAUAGUCCCUAUUGGAAUCGAAAGGCAAUUGAAGUCAACCCAGGAAAGAAAAUCAUCCUCAAAUCCAUCCGAUCUCUAAGUGCUGACAUGAGCACUGUGUCUUGAGAGAGAAUGGACCCUUUGGAUGGGAAAGCACACUUUUCUCUGUGCCUGCUGGAUCUUAAGCAUCUACACAUUUGCCGAAUUAAAACUUCUGAUUCAUCAGACUCUAACAUCACAGGCAGCUUUUCUAGCUUCUCAUUGCUAUUUCUAAGGAGCACACAGAUAGAUGUGUUCCACCAUGAAAGGAAGGGGCCCCGGGGCCUUCUCAUCAGAGGGGGCGGUUUGGCUUAUGACCCUAGCACUACGACCUCACUUCCUUGGCGACAGGUCCAAACAGAACUCGGAACCCUGGAGUCACCGGGCACCACAGUCCAGUGGCGGCUGCCCAACAGUCACUUGGCUGGAGAGAGUCAGCAGCGAUCAUGCUGUGCCACUUUCCCAGGCCGCAGCAAUAGGACCCCCCGCAGGGAAAGCACUUAGGCGCCAGUGAGAGGAUGGAUGGCUAAGUCCCCGUGCUUCAGGCCACUCACCAGGAACUGCCUGGCCUUCAGGGGCAGCACAGGGCGGGUCUCCCCAGACCCAGAGACCUGGGGACCUAAGAUGAGCGGGAGCCCAGGGCAGAUCUCCCUGGACCUGGACAUCAGACACUCAGGGCCACCGAGUCCAGGACAGGUCCAGUUAGGCCCGGCCACCACUUUCCGUCACAGAUUGGGACCCAACGGGAGGAGAGCGGGGCAGAGGACUGCAUGGUGAGGACGGCGCUGGCAGGCAGGCAGCGCCCCUGAGGGAGCCCCCGGAAUGGGACUUCCUGGACAGCCGCCCCAUCCACACAGACUCCCUCCUGGACCCCUCUGGGGCCUGCAUUCCCGCCCUGCAGGAGGGGAUGGUGCGAAGGGGAGCUCUGUGGUCGGCACCCAGGGGCACUUGGCCACUGUGGCCCCAAGUCUUUGGAAGGUCCUCCUUUUUUGUCCACCAUUCCCGGUGGAGCUGCACUCCCAGGAGACUCCACCAGCUGAACUCCUGUCCCAGCUGGAGCAAGCUGAGCCCACUGAGGCACAGCCCACGGGACCAGCUCCAGCCCCAGCUGAAGUCCCACGUGUGGAGCCUGAGCCAGCUCCACCUGCAGCUUCCUGCCCAGCCCUGGGACCACAGCCAGAGUCCAUGGCAGCCCCUUCACCUGCUGCAGUGCUGGGUCACCCGGUGGCUGCACGGCGGUCAGUGUCACCUCCUGAGCCCUGCCUGGGGCCAGCUCCUGGCCCCCUCCCACUGUUCCCCUCACUUACGGUGGCUCUUGUUUUGGUAUUUACAAUUGCCCUUAUUUCUUGGAUUUAUAUAAAUAAUAGAACUAGUUUUUAAUAAAACUUAAAAUUUUAGUGUU